rnacentral:rRNA from 1 species
UGAGUACGAGCUGCUACGGCAGCGAAGUGGGUGAUGUCAAGCUUCCAAGAAAAGCCCUAUACCCGUUAAGGCAUGAUGGCCUGUACCCGAAACCGACACAGGUGGGGUGGUAGAGAAUACCGAGGGGCGCGAGAUAACUCUCUCUAAGGAACUCGGCAAAAUGGCCCCGUAACUUCGGGAGAAGGGGUGCCACCGCAAGGUGGUCGCAGUGAAGAGGCCCAGGCGACUGUUUACCAAAAACACAGGUCUCCGCUAAGUCGCAAGACGAUGUAUGGGGGCUGACGCCUGCCCAGUGCCGGAAGGUUAAGGAAGCUGGUCAGCGUAAGCGAAGCUAGCGACUGAAGCCCCGGUGAACGGCGGCCGUAACAAUAACGGUCCUAAGGUAGCGAAAUUCCUUGUCGGGUAAGUUCCGACCCGCACGAAAGGCGUAACGAUCUGGGCGCUGUCUCGGAGAGAGGCUCGGCGAAAUAGAAUUGUCUGUGAAGAUGCGGACUACGUGCACCCGGACAGAAAGACCCUAUGAAGCUUUACUGUAGCUUGGUAUUGUGCUCGGGCUCGGAAUGCGCAGGAUAGGUGGGAGGCUAUGAACCAUUGCUUGUGGGUGAUGGUGAGCCACUGGUGAGAUACCACUCUUUCCGAGCUAGAGUUCUAACAGCCACCCGUUAUCCGGGGGCUGGACAGUAUCAGGUGGGCAGUUUGACUGGGGCGGUCGCCUCCUAAAAGGUAACGGAGGCGCGCAAAGGUUUGCUCAGGCUGGUUGGAAAUCAGCCGACGAGUGUAAAAGCAGAAGCAAGCUUGACUGUGAGACCUACAAGUCGAACAGGGAGGAAACUCGGCUUUAGUGAUCCGACGGUUCUGCGUGGAAGGGCCGUCGCUCAACGGAUAAAAGUUACUCUAAGGAUAACAGGCUGAUCUCCCCCAAGAGUUCACAUCGACGGGGAGGUUUGGCACCUCGAUGUCGGCUCAUCGCAACCUGGGGCUGAAGUCGGUCCCAAGGGUUGGGCUGUUCGCCCAUUAAAGCGGUACGCGAGCUGGGUUCAGAACGUCGUGAGACAGUUCGGUCCAUAUCCGGUGCAUGCGCAGGAAUAUUGAGAGGAUUUCUCCCUAGUACGAGAGGACCGGGAGGAACGCACCUCUGGUGUACCAGUUAUCGUGCCAACGGUAAACGCUGGGUAGCCAUGUGCGGAGAGGAUAACCGCUGAAAGCAUCUAAGUGGGAAGCCCACCUCAAGAUGAGUAUUCCCAUGGGGUAACCCAGUAAGGUCACGGGAAGAACACCCGUUGAUAGGCUCUACGUGGAAGCGCAGUAAUGUGUGAAGCGGAGGAGUACUAAUAGACCGAGGGCUUGACC